UUGCACGCUGGCGGCAGGCCUAACACAUGCAAGUCGCGCGGAUGAAGGGAGCUUGCUCCUGGAUUCAGCGGCGGACGGGUGAGUAAUGCCUAGGAAUCUGCCUGGUAGUGGGGGAUAACGUCCGGAAACGGGCGCUAAUACCGCAUACGUCCUGAGGGAGAAAGUGGGGGAUCUUCGGACCUCACGCUAUCAGAUGAGCCUAGGUCGGAUUAGCUAGUUGGUGGGGUAAAGGCCUACCAAGGCGACGAUCCGUAACUGGUCUGAGAGGAUGAUCAGUCACACUGGAACUGAGACACGGUCCAGACUCCUACGGGAGGCAGCAGUGGGGAAUAUUGGACAAUGGGCGAAAGCCUGAUCCAGCCAUGCCGCGUGUGUGAAGAAGGUCUUCGGAUUGUAAAGCACUUUAAGUUGGGAGGAAGGGCAGUAAGUUAAUACCUUGCUGUUUUGACGUUACCAACAGAAUAAGCACCGGCUAACUUCGUG
rnacentral:rRNA from 1 species